rnacentral:rRNA from 1 species
CCCAGACAGCCAGGAUGUUGGCUUAGAAGCAGCCAUCAUUUAAAGAAAGCGUAAUAGCUCACUGGUCGAGUCGGCCUGCGCGGAAGAUGUAACGGGGCUAAACCAUGCACCGAAGCUGCGGCAGCGACACUCAGGUGUUGUUGGGUAGGGGAGCGUUCUGUAAGCCUGCGAAGGUGGCCUGUGAGGGUUGCUGGAGGUAUCAGAAGUGCGAAUGCUGACAUAAGUAACGAUAAAGCGGGUGAAAAGCCCGCUCGCCGGAAGACCAAGGGUUCCUGUCCAACGUUAAUCGGGGCAGGGUGAGUCGACCCCUAAGGCGAGGCCGAAAGGCGUAGUCGAUGGGAAACGGGUUAAUAUUCCCGUACUUGGUGUUACUGCGAAGGGGGGACGGAGAAGGCUAUGUUGGCCGGGCGACGGUUGUCCCGGUUUAAGCGUGUAGGUGUGUGUUCCAGGUAAAUCCGGUUCACUUUAACACUGAGGCGUGAUGACGAGGCACUACGGUGCUGAAGCAACAAAUGCCCUGCUUCCAGGAAAAGCCUCUAAGCAUCAGGUAACAUCAAAUCGUACCCCAAACCGACACAGGUGGUCAGGUAGAGAAUACCAAGGCGCUUGAGAGAACUCGGGUGAAGGAACUAGGCAAAAUGGUGCCGUAACUUCGGGAGAAGGCACGCUGACA